CGUCCUCUGCUGUGCGCGACAGCCUGCGCAAACAUUCGCCUUGUCCCUUAAUGACGACCACGGGGGCGCAGCGGAAGCCUGGAGUGCAUGUCCGCCUUGCAGCGGAAAGCCCGAAGGCAUCCAAGCGUUCCCACUUGAACCCCGGGUUCAAGGUCGUUUCCGCAGGCAUCGCACACCGGUGGAGGACUU
rnacentral:other from 1 species